rnacentral:rRNA from 1 species
UACGUAGGGUGCGAGCGUUGUCCGGAAUUAUUGGGCGUAAAGAGCUUGUAGGCGGUUUGUCGCGUCUGCUGUGAAAAUCCGGGGCUCAACCCCGGACUUGCAGUGGGUACGGGCAGACUAGAGUGUGGUAGGGGAGACUGGAAUUCCUGGUGUAGCGGUGAAAUGCGUACGAUAUCAGAGAACGAGACCGGUGGCGAAGGCGGGUCUCUGGACAGUUCCUGACGCUGAGGCACGAAGGCCAGGGGAGCAAACGGG